UGGUGACUGCGGAAGGACAUUG
rnacentral:rRNA from 1 species